CAUUCGCCAUUUUGUUCCCGACGCAGAUAUUUUUGACUACUGACGCUGUGCUCUGCGAUGUGGAGUGCCAAUGAACAGAUGACACGGAAUGACAGGAAACUGGACACAUUUCACUGUUGAGUAAAUCAGUGAAGCAAACUGCUCUAUCAAGAGGAGGUACUACAUUAUCUUCCUAUAAUAAUCUGAUUGUGUGCAUUAAACAUGAUCAUGAGGUGCUAUGAAUUGAAGCAGCAAAGCGCGCAUACAGCGAGAGUACUUCAGAUCUGCGAGCACCGAGACACGUGCAUUUCCCUGUCGUCAGUAUCUACACUUUACCCUAAUCGACGUGCAGUUCACCUUGCGUUAUAUUUAGUCAUCAUUUUUUGAAGUGGUUAUUUAGUGAUAUGUGCACUGCCAGUCAAAAGUUUAGACACACUCAUUCUUUAUUUUUAUUUUUUCCACAUUUUAUAAUAAUGAUAAUAAAGUUAUCAAAACUCUGGAAUAAGACAAAUGCAACUAUGGGAAUUAUGUUGUGAUGAUGAUGAUGAUGAUGAU